CAUAGGUUUGGUCCUGGCCUUUCUAUUAGUUAUUAGUAGAAUUAUACAUGCAAGAAUCCCCAUACCUGUGAAAAUGCCCUCUAAUCAUUAAUUGAUAAAAGGAGCUGGUAUCAAGCACACUAAAAGUAGCUCAUAACACCUUGCUCAGCCACACCCCCACGGGAUACAGCAGUAAUAAAAAUUAAGCAAUAAAUGAAAAUUUGACUAAGUCAUACUAUUAAGCACUGGUAAAUCUCGUGCCAGCCACCGCGGUCAUACGAUUAGACCAAACUAAUAGAUAUUCAGCGUAAAGGGUGUUUUAGAUUAACAUAACCAAUAAAGUUAAAUUUUAACUAAACUGUAAAAAGUCCUAGUUACUGUAAAUUAGACAACGAAAGUGACUUUAAUGUAUCUGACACACAAUAGCUAAGACCCAAACUGGGAUUAGAUACCCCACUAUGCUUAGCCCUAAACAUAAAAAAUUAUUUAACAAGAUUAUUCGCUAGAGUACUACCAGCAAUAGCUAGAAACUCAAAGGACUUGGCGGUGCCUUAUAUCCUUCUAGAGGAGCCUGUUCUAUAACCGAUAAACCCCGAUAAACCUCACCAAUUCUUGCUAAAUCAGCCUAUAUACCGCCAUCUUCAGCAAACCCUAAAAAGGAAAUACAGUAAGCACAAGAAUUUACAUAAAAACGUUAGGUCAAGGUGUAGCCCAUGAAUUGGGAAGAAAUGGGCUACAUUCCUCGAAUCAAGGUAUUAUAAUUACGAAAACUUAUGUGAAAACCAUGAGUUAAAGGUGGAUUUAGCAGUAAAUUAAGAAUAGAGUGCUUAAUUGAAUAAGGCCAUGAGGCACGCACACACCGCCCGUCACCCUCCUCAAACAAAAUUAAACAUCACACAAUAUAUGUAUGCAUGUAAACACACUUGCAAGAGGAGAUAAGUCGUAACAAGGUAAGCGUACUGGAAAGUGCGCUUGGAUAAC
rnacentral:ncRNA from 1 species